CUCCUGGAAACGGGUGGUAAUGCCGGAUGUUCCAGUUGAUCGCAUGGUCUUCUGGGAAAGCUUUCGCGGUAUGGGAUGGGGUCGCGUCCUAUCAGCUUGACGGCGGGGUAACGGCCCACCGUGGCUUCGACGGGUAGCCGGCCUGAGAGGGCGACCGGCCACAUUGGGACUGAGAUACGGCCCAGACUCCUACGGGAGGCAGCAGUGGGGAAUAUUGCACAAUGGGCGCAAGCCUGAUGCAGCGACGCCGCGUGAGGGAUGGAGGCCUUCGGGUUGUAAACCUCUUUUAUCGGGGAGCAAGCGUGAGUGAGUUUACCCGUUGAAUAAGCGCCGGCUAACUACGUGCCAGCAGCCGCGGUAAUACGUAGGGUGCAAGCGUUAUCCGGAAUUAUUGGGCGUAAAGGGCUCGUAGGCGGUUCGUCGCGUCCGGUGUGAAAGUCCAUCGCUUAACGGUGGAUCCGCGCCGGGUACGGGCGGGCUUGAGUGCGGUAGGGGAGACUGGAAUUCCCGGUGUAACGGUGGAAUGUGUAGAUAUCGGGAAGAACACC
rnacentral:rRNA from 1 species